rnacentral:rRNA from 1 species
CCGACGGUGAGAGGCGAAAGCUGGGGGAGCAAACCGGAUUAGAUACCCGGGUAGUCCCAGCUGUAAACGAUGUGCGUUAGGUGUAUCGGUGACCACGAGUCACCGAGGUGCCGAAGAGAAAUCGUGAAACGUACCGCCUGGGAAGUACGGUCGCAAGGCUGAAACUUAAAGGAAUUGGCGGGGGAGCACCACAAUAGGUGGAGCCUGCGGUUUAAUCGGACUCAACGCCGGGAAACUCACCAGAUAA